UGCCGCGCCGGCAGGGAGCCGCAGCCCCGACCGGCCGCCACGGGUCCCCCGGGAUUCCGCAUGUUUUUUGGGGAACCAGCCGGAGGCGCAGAGCUGAGCCAGUCCCGGCAGGGGAUGGAGAAGCCGGAGGUGCCGCGCACACGGCGCUCUUCGCUGCCAACCCCUGUCCAGUGCAGGAUGACAUGGCUGGCAGCCUACCUGGGCCUGUGGCUCGUCCUGCAGCUCCCCACCUUGGGCGCUGGGACACGAGUGGUCUACAAAGUGCAGGAGGAACAGCCACCCAACACACUCAUUGGGAGCUUGGCUGCUGACUACGGCUUUCCUGACGUGGGGCACCUCUAUAAGCUGGAAGUGGGGGCCCCCUACCUGCGUGUGGAUGGCAAGACAGGGGACAUUUACACCACGGAGACCUCCAUUGACCGGGAGAGCCUGCGGGAGUGUCAGAGCCAGCUCCCAGGGGAACUCUGCUUCCUGGAGUUCGAGGUGUCCAUCACGGACCUGAUGAUGAACAGCAGCCCACGCCUGCUAGAAGGGCAGAUUGAGGUGCUGGACAUCAAUGACAACACGCCCAACUUCGCCUCGCCUGUCAUCACACUGGCCAUUCCUGAGAACACCAACAUUGGGGCACUCUUCCCCAUCCCCCUGGCCAUGGACCGCGAUGCAGGCACCAACGGGGUCGCCUCCUAUGAGCUCCUGGCUGGGCCCGAGGCGCAGGAGCUCUUUGGCCUGCAGGUGGCUGAGGAUCAGGAUGAGAAGCAGCCGCAGCUGAUUGUCAUGGGGAACCUGGACCGGGAGCAGUGGGACUCCUAUGACCUGACCAUCAAGGUGCAGGAUGGAGGCAGCCCACCGCGGGCGAGCAGCGCUCUGCUGCGUAUCACCAUCCUGGACAUGAAUGACAACACCCCCAAGUUCGAGAAGGCCCUGUACGAGGCAGAGCUCUCAGAGAACAGCCCCAUGGGGCACUCCGUCCUCCAGGUGAAAGCCAAUGACUCAGAUCAGGGUGCCAACGCCGAGAUUGACUACUCCUUCCACCAGGCGACAGACAUGGUACGCCGCCUGCUGCGCCUGGACAGGACCACGGGCCUCAUCACUGUGCAGGGGCCCAUUGACCGGGAGGAUGUCAAUAUCCUCAAGUUCUCUGUCCUGGCCAAGGACAAGGGGGCCAAUCCCAAGAGUGCCCGCACCCAGGUGGUGGUGACCAUCAAGGACACGAAUGACAAUGCCCCCUCCAUUGAAAUCCGGGGUAUUGGCCUCGUCACCCAUCAGGAUGGCAUGGCCAACAUCUCCGAGGACGUGCCCGUGGAGACGGCCGUGGCUCUGGUACAGGUGUCUGACCGGGAUGAGGGUGAGAACGCUGUGGUCACCUGUGUGGUUGCUGGCGAUGUCCCAUUCCAGCUGAGACAGGCCAGCGAGACGGGCAGUGACAGCAAGAAGAAGUACUUCUUGCAGACCACCACGCCGCUGGACUAUGAGGCGGUGAAGGAGUACACCAUUGAGAUUGUGGCUGUGGACUCGGGGAACCCGCCCCUCUCCAGCACUAAUUCCCUCAAGGUGCAGGUGAUGGAUGUGAACGACAAUGCUCCAGUCUUCAGCCAAAGCCUCACCGAGGUGGCCUUCCCCGAGAACAAUGCCCUUGAUGACCUGGUGGUGGAGGUGAGUGCCAGUGACGCUGACAGUGGAUCCAAUGCCAAGCUGGUUUACUCCCUGGACAUGGACCCCUCCUCCAAGGGCUUCUUCUCCAUCGACCCUGACUCAGGUGAGAUCCGAGUGAAGACGGUGCUGGACCGGGAGCAAAGGGAGCGCUACGAGUUCCUAGUUGUGGCAGCUGACAAGGGCAGCCCCAGUCUCAAGGGCACGGCAUCUGUGGCCAUCAAUGUCAUGGACAGGAAUGACAACGACCCCAAGUUUAUGCUGAGCAGCUACAACUUCUCAGUGAUGGAGAACAUGCCUCCCCUGAGCCCGGUGGGCAUGGUGACGGUGAUUGACGCUGACAAGGGCGACAACGCCCGAAUCCAGCUGUCAGUGGAGCAGGACAAUGGGGACUUUGUCAUCCAGAAUGGCACUGGCACCAUACUCUCCAGCAUCUCCUUUGACCGGGAGCAGCAGAGCACGUACACCUUUCGGCUCAAAGCUGUGGAUGGCGGGGACCCUCCUAGAUCCGCCUACGUGGGGGUGACCAUCAACGUGCUGGAUGAGAACGACAAUGCCCCUUUCAUCACCUCCCCUUCCAAUGCCUCUUACAAGCACAUCCUGCCCCACACCAGCCCCGGGCAGCAGGUCAGCAAGGUCAAGGCUGAGGACAUUGACUCGGGGGUCAAUGCAGAGCUGACCUACAGAAUCACGGGAGGCAACCCGUUCGAGCUGUUCCAGAUCUCACCGCAGAGUGGGGACAUCACGCUGGAGAAGGAGAUCCUGCGCAAGCACCAUGGCCUGCACCGCCUGGUGGUGCGUGUUAACGACAGGGGCAAGCCCUCGCGCCAUGGCACCGCGCUGGUGCACUUCUACGUCAAUGAAACCCUGGCCAAUCGCACGCUGCUGGAGACCCUGCUGGGACACAGCCUGGACACGCCACUGGACAUCGACAUCGCUGGGGACCCCGAGUAUGAGCGCAGCAAGCAGCGCAGCAACAUCCUCUUCGGUGUCAUCGCCGGCAUUGUGGCCGUCACCCUGGUCAUCGUGCUGGUGGUGCUGGUGCGCUACUGCCGGCAGAGGGAGGCCAAGAGCGGCUACCAGGCGGGCAAGAAGGAGACCAAGGACCUGUACGCCCCCAAGCAGGGCAACAAGAGCAGCAAGAGCAAGAGCAAAGUGAAGAAGAGCAAGUCCCCUAAGCCGCCCAAACCGGCCGAUGACGAGGAGGAGACUGGGCUGCAGAAGUCCCUCAAGUUCAACCUCAUGAAUGACUCUGUCAGUGACAGCCCCCGCAUCCACCUGCCUCUCAACUACCCGCCUGGGAGCCCGGACCUGGGGCGCCACUACCGCUCCAACUCCCCUCUGCCCUCCAUCCAGCUGCAGCCCCAGUCACCCUCUGCCUCUAAGAAGCACCAGGUAGUGCAGGACCUGCCUGCCACUAACACCUUUGUGGGCACUGGGGACAACAACUCGACGGGCUCUGAGCAGUACUCUGACUACAGCUACCGCACCAACCCCCAGAAAUACACCAACAAGCAGCUACCUCAUCGUCGAGUGACAUUCUCUGCAGCUAAUCAGGCACAGGACUUGCAGGACCCCUCACAACAUAGUUACUAUGACAGUGGGCUAGAAGAGUCAGAGACGCCCAGCAGCAAGUCAUCAUCAGGGCCCCGGAUUGGGCCAUUAGCUCUGCCUGAGGAUCAUUAUGAGCGCACCACACCCGACGGUAGUAUUGGGGAGAUAGAGCACCCUGAAAACGAUCUCCGGCCUCUGCCUGACGUUGCCAUGACUGGGACCUGCACCCGAGAAUGCACGGAGUUCGGCCACUCCGACACCUGCUGGAUGCCUGGCCAGUCCUCCCCAAACCGCAGGCCCAAGACUGCCCUGAAGCUCUCCACUUUUGUGCCUUACCAAGAACGGGGGAGUCAAGAGCAAGUUGGGAACGGCAGCCCCAGACUUUCGGAAGAGCGCAGCACCAAAAUGGCCAACCUCCGCCUGCUCCCUACAUACAGUGCCUUCUCCAACAGUAGCCAUGAGCCCUGCAAGGACUCCCCUAUGGAGGAAAUUCCUCUCACCCAGACCUCGGACUUCCAGCCAGCCACCACCCCCUCAUCUCAAACCACUAAGAGGGAGAUCUACCUGUGAGGCUGGGCCCAAGGGGUGAGGAGCAGACACUUCUGAGGCCAGUGUCCAGAGGAACAUUUGAAACUUUAAUGCUUUAUCGCUCCUGCAGCCAGUUCUCCAGGUCGUUCCCAGUUUCCACCCCCCUCCGGGUGAGACGCCCAACUGGCCUCUGAAGACACAGGGCAGAGCAAGGGAGAGGAGGGCCUUUUUAACUCGUUGUCUUGGGGCAGGGUGGAUAUCUGAAACGUAAGGAAUUUUCCAGCACUUGAGGGUGCAUCUCUGAAGUGCUAUGUCAGGGAGGGCUGGGCAGGCUCCAAGUGCAGAGGACACGGCUGGGGUGAAGGGCUUAGGUACCAAAGGUCCAUGCAGAGCUGGUGGAGAUCCUGGGGCACAGGACAGAGGGGUGUUUCCAUGCACAGGGAGCAAGCUGCCUGUUGCUUUACUGUAGACUCCUGUAAAUAUGAAUUUUAGGAAUGACAUUCAAAUCCUGCCUGAUUGAAACUUUUAUUGUCCUUGAAACAAAAGACAUUUCAACAAAACAAACCACAGGGAGCAAGUUCCAAUGUUGAAUGGUUUGGUGCAUGGAAGAGCACAGGGGAGCACAGCUUCCAAUCCACACUCCUGUUCCAUUUUGUAAAUAAAGAUGUGACUGGUUCCUCAAACAAUAGCUGGGAGUGGGAGGAGAGGGGCAGGGGCCUGUCAGUGGGGCUGGAGGCUUUCUGGUUUUACAUCCUGGCCCACUUGCCAAAUGCUGUCACUGUGCCCAUUGGCUGCAGGGUGCCCAGGGACUGCUCAGUGCCAGAGGUAAGGGCCUAUGCUGAGGGGUCCCUUUUGGCUGUGUACCAGUGGAUGGCAAAGCUGAAAGAGCCAGGAGCAGGCCUGGGGAGCGCUGGUUUGAUAACUAUAUCUCUGGCUGCAGACAUCCUUGGAUCUAGCUCUGCUGGAGAGAGGGGAGGCACAGGCCAUUGGGCCUCACCCCAUCCCCUUGUGCCUCACCCCAUCCCCUUGCGCCUGCUGUAGUGCAGGGAACUCCCAUGGGGCCAUCUGUGCCAUGAACUUGACCUUUGACCUGUCCGCCUGUAAGCCACCAUUUGCCUUUGUGAGGAGGAGCUUUGUCUCAGGGUCACACCAGGGGCCACUGGCCCCUGCGAGCUGGAGUCCCACUGCCCUUAGGCCACAGAGCCACUCUCAAGGGCUCCAGCAUUCUCUUCCAGUGUCAAAGGUCAUCCAGUCUCCCUGGGGUGGCACCCUAAUGCCGUGCCAGGUGCCAGCAGCAUCUGAGCUCCCCUUCACAGGGUACCAAAUCCAGGGAGACACUGUGCAGGGUAGAGAGGAAGGAUGGGUGGCAUCAGCUUGAGCAGGUGCCCGUAGGAAUGGCCCUUGGCUUGGCCAGCCUGAGCAGGGUGUGGAUCAAAGGGGUGGCCCUGGUGGGACACAGGAGCUCCUCCUGGCUCUGCUUGAACUCUCUUGAUCUCUUGGAGGCCUUGGAGCUGUUCCGGAGACUUGGUUUCUGUCCCAUUCUCAACUGUUCCAGCUCUGGCCUGACCCCCUGCUGCAGACACCUGGGCUGUCCCGCCUGAAGCAGGGUGAGGGUGACUCAUGCCUCAUUCUCUCUAGGCUACUUUCCUUUCUCUCAUGCAGUAGGGGUGCUAGGAGAGGGGUCAGAUGCACCAUUAUUCUUCCCUUCCUAUCUCCUUAGCACUCUUCAUCGCUCAGCUCUUCCUUGGGGAGUGAGGCCAAUGGCAGCUUCAGGAUAACAUCUCCUUUCCUAACUUUGGUCCAUGCUUGGCCUUUGAACAUAGGGGGAUGUGGUGGGGACAUUGUGUGUCUGCUGACUGGGCAGCCUUUCCUCUCUGGUGCCUGUGGGUGGUUCUGCAGGACUUGUUCAGCACUGGGUGCUUCCUGCAGGGAGAGGGCAUUGCAGCCCCAUCCCAUCAGGCCCAGAGGCCUGCAAUUCCUGCACUGAGUCUUGGGGCAUUCAGGACAAUGGCACUUGCCCUGUCUUGCCUCCUGGUGUUCAGCGAGUCCCUUGCUGAGUAGCUCCUGACCCUUUGCUCUGGCAGUGGUGAUGGGAUAUGGCCAGCCUCAUAGUGUAGCUUCCUCAGGGCCAUGUGGCCUGACAGGCACAAGCUGAACCAGGUCUGCCCAAGGAGCUCAAGGCCAAAAAGGCACAGAACUGAGAAGGCCUUCAGAAGGGCCGCAGAAAGCACGGCUCCUAGCUGCCCUAUCCUGCCCGCUCCCCCAGUGCCCUGUUCUUGUGUCACCCUCUCCCGGGUGAUGUGAUGGAGGACUGUGCCACUGCAGUUCAUACAUCUAGAGGUGCCGCUUAGGGGAGUCAGGACCUUCCUUCCCACCUCUCCUGUCACCGUUCCCCUGGUUGGAGGGCACUGAUCCAGUGGGUCUCUGUUGUGGACAUGGCCUCCAGGUGGGUGUCCGUCCAGGCAUACCUGUUCUGCUCUGCUGGCAGUGCUGUGGGGCCCGUGCUCCCCCUGGCCUGGCUGCCUGAGCACGUCACUUUCCUGAAUAUGUUUUUAUUGUAGUUCUAGUUUCAGGGCCUAACUGGGCAGAAUGUGCAAUUUGGCCACCUAGGCCAGGAUCCUUGAUUCCUCUGCCAGCUCAGAUGCUCAUUCCCCGCACCCAGGCUCGGGUCUGGGGCAGCAUCCCUCUGGGGCGGGCUCCCCAGAAGAGCUACAUGACCUACGCAGAUGAGGGUCACUACUUCCAAGAGGGAAAGAGUGGGCCCUGGCUCUCCCCAUGGCCUGGUCUGCAGGAUCGCCCCCUUACUUGCUGCUUGGGUCACUAAGGGAACCCUGAGGCUCACAGCCCUUUGGUUUGGUUCAGGAGCUGCCUGAGGCAGCACAGCAGCUCACUCAACCUGAAUACAUGGCCCUCUGUGCUUCUCAGUCCCUUUGGUUUGGGACUGAGGGGGGAACCUGCCUGAAGGGGUGGGCAGAUGUGGUGCUGGGAUCAGCCCAGUGGGGAGGGGUGCUGGGAUCAGCCCACAUGUGAGGGCUGAGGUGGUGCUGGCAUCUGCCGAGGGUGAGUGUGUAGGUGGUGCUGGGGAUCAGCCCCAGAGGGGAGGGUGGAGACAGGGAGAGUGGAGACAGUGCUGGGAUUGGCCUGGGGGGAGGGGUUCUGGGGUCAGCCCCCAAGAUGAGGGUGGAGAUGGUGCUGGGAUCAGCCCAGGGGUGAGGGUGGAGGUGGUGCUGGGGAUUUGCCAUGGGGAGAGGGUGCUGGUGCUGGCAGGGAGAAGCUCAUUUGCACAAAGAUAAGCCAGAAGGAUAAAGCCUCUGCAUAUGGGGGAGAGAAGGCACCUCACAGGCUCCGCUCUAGACAAGCACAGUGAAGGGGGGUGGGGAGUUAGAGGUGCCCCUCAGGAGGGAGAGGCGUUCACUGUAUUUAACACUGCACUAGGACAAGCCAGGGGGUAAAACCAAAGGUGGGAGCCAGGGAGCAGUCGGGCUGUGUGGGAAGGAUCCAAGCGACCCCAUUGUAGCUCUUCAGUGUUGGUUCUAUUUAUAUGAGAUUUCAUUUCCUUGCUUGUGAUGCCUUGUUUUUUGUACAGUUUUAUGUACAUGCAGGUGUAGCUUUUCUAAAGGAGAAAUCCUAUAUCAGAGGAAAGUACCCAGCUAUUUUUCAGAUGGUGACCUAUGUCUAAGGCAGCGCCUCUUGCUAAGGUUGUAUUGCUCUCAAUGUGUGAUGCAUUUCCCUGUGCAGGGAAGGCUUUGGGCCUUGGGUUUGGUUUUUCCCAGGCACUGUGAGCACAAUUGAUUCUCUUGUAAUUCUUUCUGUUCGGAGCAGUGAGCAUGACACCUUUGUGAGCCCCUUUCUGUUCUCUCCCCUUCUGUUUGUUUGCUGAGCUGUCAGAUGACAAAUUCCAUUGUAAUUAGCCCUUCCCAAAGCUUUACAAUAAAAGUGU